UACGUAGGGGGCAAGCGUUGUCCGGAAUCACUGGGCGUAAAGGGCGCGUAGGCGGCCUGAUAAGUAGGGGGUGAAAUCCUGUGGCUUAACCGCAGGGCUGCCUUCUAAACUGUCGGGCUAGAGCACAGUAGAGGCAGGUGGAAUUCCCGGUGUAGCGGUGGAAUGCGUAGAGAUCGGGAAGAACAUCAGUGGCGAAGGCGGCCUGCUGGGCUGUUGCUGACGCUGAGGCGCGAAAGCUAGGGGAGCAAACGGG
rnacentral:rRNA from 1 species